AAUGGUAAGCCAUUUCUAUUUUGGGCUAAUCUUCAGUUUCUUUUUAAAAAUAGCUUAGCUCUCCCCUCUCCCUCUACCCCUAGACAGGGUUUCAUGAAUUCCAAUCAGGGGUCUGAACUCACUUUUAGCCAGGAAUGAUCUUGAACUGACCUCCUGAAUGCUGGGGAUACAGGUGUGGUCACCUUGCUGCUUUAGGAGGUGCUGGGAACAACCCAGGGCAUCCCGUGUGUUAAGCACAUACUCCCAGCUAAGCUAAAUCCCCAGUUCCUCUUUCUAGAAAACAUCAUUAGUUAAACAUAUUCAGGGGAGAAGAGGUCACAGGUCUGUCCAGAUGCCCCAUCCUUUAGUGCAGGGUCAGCUCCCAGAACAGCUCUGCUCUGCUCUGUAAACUGCUGAUUCUCCUUACCUGUGAUUACCCCAGAUCUGCCUAUUUCCAAGAUGCCAUUUGAAGGGGAGGGGUCUGUUUCCCACUGUGACCAGGCUAUGGGAUCCUUGACCACCUUGCUUCAUGAUUUGAUACAUUUGUUGUAUUCAAAAACUUGAACUGUAGGAUGCCAUUAAGAGUCCGUUUACAUUUUUGGAAUAUUUGUAUUAUAAGUGUUAAAAAAAGGCCAGUUUAAAAACCUAAAAGAAAAGAAAAUAUCAU
rnacentral:lncRNA from 1 species